rnacentral:rRNA from 1 species
CUCUCAACAAGCGGAGGCAGAUUUCCGGGAUGAAUAAAGAACGCAGCCUAUCGCGAUACGUAGUGAGACUUGCAGAAUUCAGUGAAUCAUCGAAUCUUUGAACGCACAUUGCGCCCCUCGGUAUUCCAUGGGGCAUGCCUGUUCGAGCGUCAUCUACACCCUCAAGCUCUGCUUGGAGUUGGGCGUCUGUCCCGCCUCUGCGCGCGGACUCGCCCCAAAUUCAUUGGCAGCGGUCCUUGCCUCCUCUCGCGCGCACAUUGCGCUUCUCGAGGUGCGCGGCCCGCGUCCACGAAGCAACAUUACCGUCUUUGACCUCGGAUCAGGUAGGGAUACCCGCUGAACUUAAGCAUAUCAAUAAGCGGAGGAAG